UACGUAGGGGGCGAGCGUUGUCCGGAUUUACUGGGCGUAAAGGGUGAGUAGGCGGUUGUAUAAGUCAGAUGUAAAAGGCACAGGCUUAACUUGUGUAAGCAUUUGAAACUGUACGACUUGAGUGCAGGAGAGGUAAGUGGAAUUCCUAGUGUAGCGGUGAAAUGCGUAGAUAUUAGGAGGAACACCAGUGGCGAAGGCGACUUACUGGACUGUAACUGACGCUGAGUCACGAAAGCGUGGGUAGCAAACAGG
rnacentral:rRNA from 1 species